UACGUAGGGGGCAAGCGUUGUCCGGAUUUAUUGGGCGUAAAGAGCGUGUAGGCGGUUUGGUAGGUCCGCUGUGAAAACUCGAGGCUCAACCCUGGGAUGCCGGUGGAUACUGUCGGGCUCGAGUCCGGAAGAGGCGAGUGGAAUUCCUGGUGUAGCGGUGAAAUGCGCAGAUAUCAGGAGGAACACCAAUGGCGAAGGCAGCUCGCUGGGACGUGACUGACGCUGAGACGCGAAAGCGUGGGGAGCAAACAGG
rnacentral:rRNA from 1 species